rnacentral:rRNA from 1 species
AGUGAACGCUGGCGGUAGGCCUAACACAUGCAAGUCGAACGGCGGCACAGGAGAGCUUGCUCUCUGGGUGGCGAGUGGCGGACGGGUGAGGAAUACAUCGGAAUCUACUCUGUCGUGGGGGAUAACGGAGGGAAACUUACGCUAAUACCGCAUACGACCUACGGGUGAAAGCAGGGGAUCGUCGGACCUUGCGCGAAUGAACGAGCCGAUGUCGGAUUAGCUAGUUGGCGGGGUAAAGGCCCACCAAGGCGACGAUCCGUAGCUGGUCUGAGAGGAUGAUCAGCCACACUGGAACUGAGACACGGUCCAGACUCCUACGGGAGGCAGCAGUGGGGAAUAUUGGACAAUGGGCGCAAGCCUGAUCCAGCCAUACCGCGUGGGUGAAGAAGGCCUUCGGGUUGUAAAGCCCUUUUGUUGGGAAAGAAAUCCAGCUGGCUAAUACCCGGUUGGGAUGACGGUACCCAAAGAAUAAGCACCGGCUAACUUCGUGCCAGCCGCCGCCGUAA